CCUUCGCGGCUUGUUCCAGGUGCUCUGUGACCUAUGGGUCGACCGAGUGAAACAGGGAAGCCGGUGAGUGAGCGCACUUGUACACAGUGCUGCCGCGAUUCCGGCGCUGCCCCCGCAACGGUAAAUGAGUCAAGACGCUGCCUUUUGCCACUGUAUCGCCAGCGAUAUGGGAAGGCGUAGCGUUGGCCUGCGCGCUCUCUAUACGAGGGCAACGGCGCCACUCAUGAGCCCGGAGACCGGCCUGUUACAUCCAACAGCA
rnacentral:ncRNA from 2 species